rnacentral:rRNA from 1 species
AUUCCCCCAGUAACGGCGAGUGAAGCGGGAAGAGCUCAUAAUGUGAAUCUGUGUAACCCGCAAGGGUGCACCGAAUUGUGGUCUGGAGAAGUAUUGUCGGCCGAGUUUCCGGGCCAAGUCUCUUGGAAAAGGGCAGCUGAGAGGGUGAAACUCCCGUCCUUGCCUGGGAACUCUGCGCCUCGGCACAUGCUUUCUACGAGUCGAGUUGCUUGGGAUUGCAGCUCAAAUUUGGUGGUAAAUUCCAUCUAAGGCUAAAUAUUGGUGGGAUACCGAUAGCGCACAAGUACCGUGAGGGAAAGAUGCAAAGAACUUUGAAAAGAGAGUUAAAGAGUACCUGAAAUUGUUGAAAGGGAAGCGAAGGAAACCAGUGCCGAAGCUUCGUCAUACUUCCCGUGCCACCCGUGGUAAGGGCGCUGUGGCCUAGCGUGGGUCAGCAUCGGCUCUUUGCCUGGGGUAAAUCUUCGGUGGGUAGGCGACCUCCUCGGAGGUGAGUGCCCGCUGUUGCCAUCCUGGGUUGGGCUGAGGUCAGUCACUCUGUGCUCGUGAUGCUGGC